GCGCGUGUAGCUCAAUGGAUAGAGUAACUGACUACGAAUCAGCAGGUUGGGGGUUCGAGUCCCUCCACGCGCACCA
rnacentral:tRNA from 1 species